GUCGAACGCUGGCGGCGUGCCUAAUACAUGCAAGUAGAACGCAGUUGAGAACGGGUGAGUAACGCGUAGGUAACUUCCUCAUAGCGGGGGAUAACUUUUGGAAACGAUAGCUAAUACCGCAUACUGUGAGAUGGACCUGCGUUGGAUUAGCUAGUUGGUUUGGUAAAGGCUCACCAAGGCUCCGAGCCAUCGCCGACCUGUGAGGGUGAUCGACCACACGGGGACUGUGACAAGGGCCCUACUACCACGGGAGGCAGCAGUAGGGAAUCUUCGGCAAUGGACGGAAGGCUGACCGAGCAACGCCGCGGGAGUGAAGAAGGUUUUCGGAUCGGAAAGCUCUGUUGUUAGAGAAGCGGUAACUAACCAGAAAGGGACGGCUAACUACGUGCCAGCCGCCGCGGUAAUAC
rnacentral:rRNA from 1 species